rnacentral:rRNA from 1 species
AGUGAACGCUGGCGGUAGGCCUAACACAUGCAAGUCGAACGGCAGCACAGUAAGAGCUUGCUCUUACGGGUGGCGAGUGGCGGACGGGUGAGGAAUACAUCGGAAUCUACUUUUUCGUGGGGGAUAACGUAGGAAAACUUACGCUAAUACCGCAUACGACCUACGGGUGAAAGCAGGGGAUCUUCGGACCUUGCGCGAUUGAAUGAGCCGAUGUCGGAUUAGCUAGUUGGCGGGGUAAAGGCCCACCAAGGCGACGAUCCGUAGCUGGUCUGAGAGGAUGAUCAGCCACACUGGAACUGAGACACGGUCCAGACUCCUACGGGAGGCAGCGGUGGGGAAUAUUGGACAAUGGGCGCAAGCCUGAUCCAGCCAUACCGCGUGGGUGAAGAAGGCCUUCGGGUUGUAAAGCCCUUUUGUUGGGAAAGAAAAGCAGCAGGUUAAUACCCCGCUGUUCUGACGGUACCCAAAGAAUAAGCACCGGCUAACUUCGUG